CCCUGCCCUUUGUACACACCGCCCGUCGCUACUACCGAUUGAAUGGCUUAGUGAGCCCUUGGGAGUGGUCUAAUUGAGCUGGUAACGGCACAAUUGGACUGUAAACUUGGGCAAACUUGGUCAUUUAGAGG
rnacentral:rRNA from 1 species